rnacentral:lncRNA from 1 species
CUGGACCAAAAAAAUCUGUUUAAGGAGAUUUUAUGGCUUAUAAGGUGUUAAGUUUUCCCAGACCCAUUGAAAAGGAUUUUGAGCCAGGAAAAAAGGUCAGAGUUCAGUCUUCACAAGCUUUCAGUACUGUGUGAAUUUUUCCUUCCUCAGCCUCAAACUUCACCAAUUUUUUUAUGGGAUGGAACUUUUCAGAGUGUACUCUGCUAAAGUUCUGCCCUUUAUAUGUCCUAAUUGAGCUCUGAGAUUUAUCGUCCCUGCCUUAGAAUUGAAAAGUGGAAUGUGGAAGGAAGACUGAAGGAUAAAGACAGUACUAAUCUUUUAGUGAGAAGCUGGGAGAAUCUGCAUUGGGAGCUACUUACCAAGCAGCAUUCUGAAGAAGAAUUUUAUAAUGAUGGUUGUUAGUAACCCUUUCGUAAAGAUGGUCAAAAUCAUCAAAUCAUCAUGCAUUGAUCGGUUCUCAUGUGACAGGCGUCCUACUCCAUUCCUGGGGAGCAGUGGUGGGGAAAGGAAUAUCAUACGGACAUGCAGGAAACAGUCUGAAGAAACAAGCCUUGCAAAAUUCCCCCCAGUUUACCAUUAGAUCAUAUCCUUUUUGUACAAUCACAUUUCUCUACAACUAUCUGCUUCUUUCAUCAGACUUAGCAUAAAAAUAUAGUUUUCCCUGGGUGUUGGAGUCUUCAUUUCUGUUGGCCCCUGUGCCACCUAAAACUUUGUACAUAAAUUUAUUAUGCUUUUCUCUUGUUAAUCUAGCUGUUGUUUUAGCGGUGUCAGCUGUGGACCUUGUAAUGGGUGAAGAAAAGAUAUUACUUUUUCCUCCUUACAUGUUCUAGCAGAAUUUAUGAAUAUAGACAGGAUAUAAAGUGAUUUACUUUCAAGAAAACCUCGUUGGCUUGUGCUCAUCAGCAUGAUGGUUUAGAAUAAAGCCUUGAUCCUAUGACGACUGCUCUGUGACACUGGACAAUUCCCCUAGCCUUUGCAUACUUUGUUUAUGGAGACUGAUUGAUGUAUAAAACUCUUUAGCGUACUACCUAGUACCUUGUAAGUACUAGAUUUUAAAAGUAUGUAUGUAUGUGUUAUUAUGUACUCACUGAUCAAUCAAAUAUUUAUUGAGCAAUAACUGUGUGCCAGGCACUGGGGAUACAAUUCUUGCUCUCAUUAUAUGGAAGUGUUCACUGAGAAGUCCAUGCACAGUUUGAAUAGUAUUAGAAUAUCCAAUCUUAAGGUUGCUAUAAUUCACUCCCUACCAUCCAAUGAUUGAAUCCACUUCACAUAUUACCCCAAGGGGUCUCCCAGGCUCUGCAGGACAUGUGAAUGGAAAUGGGGAUCACUCCACUUUCCAAGACAGCUGAUUCAAAUGUAGAGGCUAUGGUGGUGGUAUCAUCUCCCUGCCUUCAAGGGAAUCCAUACCUCCAACACUGCAGAUUUUGCCUCGCAAAAAUAACUGGCAUGUGCAUGUCAAAUACCCUUGACCCAUGUUAAAAAUCACAGCCAGCAUAUUCCUUCCUAUCUUUUUUUAACAGUAAUUCAUAGCCAAGACAUUAUCUUUACCACCUUUCCUUUUGUGUGGUACCACUAGGGACCUCUGCCCUUCUUUUGUGUCAAAUAGAGCUGAUGCCACAAUUUCUGACUUGAUUAACUACAAUGUCCACAUGGCUGUUUGAUUAACUGCAAAGUCCGCUUGCCCUCCUGCACAGCAAGGACUUCCCGUUAUCAUCAUAGGAUGCAGCAGAGAGUGUUUAUGCUCACAUCAGCGGUGAGGUCCGCUUCCCUAGGGGACAAGGUAGCUGUUUACUGCUGUGGAGCCAGAACAACAGAAGGAGAGCCGUUGUCCUUUGCUUAUUCAGGGUCCUCAUGGCCUCCAUCAAAAGGAGCCCCAGGAUUUCUAUCUUCCCCUUUAGUGAAGGUAUGGAAAAGCUAAGGUGGAGAAACAGGGUAGACAUGCUAAGGAUCUGGAAAAACUUUUUUUUUUCCAUAUUUGGAAGGGACAAAGAUUAUUCAAAAUAUUUUUUAUGAGCACAAAUGUUGAUGUGCUGCAUCAUCUCCUGUCUUCUUUUUUCUCUACACUCAGACUCAGCACCCACUGGUGGCCAAGAACUUAGAUCAAGUCUCUUUUCCUUCCCUUACACUUCCUCAUUUCUUCUAACAAUGAUUGGCCAAACAUUAAGGUUGGUUGAUUGGGCAAAUGAGAUUUAGGAAGAUUUGAGAAUUUCAGGGCUGUUAUCUCAUAGGGCCAAUGUGACUAUCAGUGACUGGGAUCAAAUUCUGGUUUGCUCUUGGCUAACUAUCUCAUCUUGAAUUGUAGUUCCCAUAAUCUCAUGUGUCAUGGGAGGGGCCCAGUGGGAGGUAAUUGAAUCAUGGGGGUAGUUACCCUCAUGCUGUUCUCGUGAACUCUCGUGAGUUCUCACGAGAUCUGAUGGUUUUACAAGGGGCUUUUCCCCCUUUGCUGGGCAAUUCUCUUUGCUGCCACUAUGUGAAGAAAGACAUGUUUGCUUCCUCUUCUGCCAUGAUUG